UACAGAGGUGCCAAGCGUUUAGGCGGAAUCACUGGGCUUAAAGCGCGUGUAGGCGGGUCGUUUAAGUGUCCGCGUGAAAUCCCACGGCUCAACCGUGGAACUGCCGGGCAUACUGGCGAUCUUGAGGCAUUCAGGGGCGAGCGGAACAAAUGGUGGAGCGGUGAAAUGCGUAGAUAUCAUUGGAACGCCAAUGGUGAAAACAGCUCGCUGGGAAUGAUCUGACGCUGAGACGCGAAAGCCAGGGGAGCGAACGGG
rnacentral:rRNA from 1 species